rnacentral:rRNA from 1 species
AAACUAACAAGGAUUCCCCUAGUAGCGGCGAGCGAAGCGGGAAGAGCUCAAAUUUAUAAUCUGGCACCUUCGGUGUCCGAGUUGUAAUCUCUAGAAGUGUUUUCCGCGUUGGACCGCACACAAGUCUGUUGGAAUACAGCGGCAUAGUGGUGAAACCCCCGUAUAUGGUGCGGACGCCCAGCGCUUUGUGAUACACUUUCAAUGAGUCGAGUUGUUUGGGAAUGCAGCUCAAAUUGGGUGGUAAAUUCCAUCUAAAGCUAAAUAUUGGCGAGAGACCGAUAGCGAACAAGUACCGUGAGGGAAAGAUGAAAAGCACUUUGGAAAGAGAGUUAACAGUACGUGAAAUUGUUGGAAGGGAAACGCUUGAAGUCAGACUUGCUUGCCGGAGCUUGCUUCGGUUUGCAGGCCAGCAUCAGUUUUCCGGGGUGGAUAAUGACGGUUUGAAGGUAGCAGUCUCGGCUGUGUUAUAGCUUUCCGUUGGAUACAUCCUGGGGGACUGAGGAACGCAGCGUGCUUUUUGCGAAAGACUCGUCUUUUUCACGCUUAGGAUGCU